rnacentral:hammerhead_ribozyme from 1 species
AUAGCUGACGAGUUCCAAAUAGGACGAAAUGCGCGUCCGGGAU